rnacentral:rRNA from 1 species
UACAGAGGGUGCGAACGUUGCUCGGAAUUACUGGGCGUAAAGCGCGUGUAGGCGGGACCAUAAGUCGGAAGUGAAAUCCCCGGGCUCAACCCGGGAACUGCUUUCGAAACUGCGGUCCUCGAGUACCGGAGAGGGUGGCGGAAUUCCUGGUGUAGAGGUGAAAUUCGUAGAUAUCAGGAGGAACACCGGUGGCGAAGGCGGCCACCUGGACGGUUACUGACGCUGAGACGCGAAAGCGUGGGGAGCAAACAGG